UUGGGGUCUUGUUGUUGUUGUUGUUAGCGUGGAGCAAGAUACUUUGACCCU
rnacentral:sRNA from 1 species